rnacentral:rRNA from 1 species
UAGGGAAUCUUCGGCAAUGGGGGGAACCCUGACCGAGCAACGCCGCGUGAGUGAAGAAGGUUUUCGGAUCGUAAAACUCUGUUGUUAGAGAAGAACAGCGCAUAGAGUAACUGUUAUGCGUGUGACGGUAUCUAACCAGAAAGCCACGGCUAACUACGUGCCAGCAGCCGCGGUAAUACGUAGGUGGCAAGCGUUGUCCGGAUUUAUUGGGCGUAAAGCGAGCGCAGGCGGUCAAUUAAGUCUGAUGUGAAAGCCCCCGGCUCAACCGGGGAGGGUCAUUGGAAACUGGUUGACUUGAGUGCAGAAGAGGAGAGUGGAAUUCCAUGUGUAGCGGUGAAAUGCGUAGAUAUAUGGAGGAACACCAGUGGCGAAGGCGACUCUCUGGUCUGUAACUGACGCUGAUGUGCGAAAGCGUGGGGAUCAAACAGG